rnacentral:rRNA from 1 species
UACGGAGGGUGCAAGCGUUAUCCGGAUUUACUGGGUUUAAAGGGUGCGUAGGUGGGUCUGUAAGUCAGUGGUGAAAUCUCCGAGCUUAACUCGGAAACUGCCAUUGAUACUAUAGGUCUUGAAUUAUCUGGAGGUAAGCGGAAUAUGUCAUGUAGCGGUGAAAUGCUUAGAUAUGACAUAGAACACCAAUUGCGAAGGCAGCUUACUACGGAUUGAUUGACACUGAGGCACGAAAGCGUGGGGGAUCAAACAGG